rnacentral:pre_miRNA from 1 species
UCUUAGGGAUGAGCUAAGAAAGUGAUUUCUUGGGAUGGAAUCUACUCCUGGUGAAAGUGCUGUGAA